CUCAUCAAGAGUGGCUGAGGGAAUAGGCCCUGUGACGCCCGGCAACCUGCGCAAAGCAACGGUGCUAAAUCCUACAGGUAUUACCUGAAAGAUGAGG
rnacentral:ncRNA from 1 species